ensembl:lncRNA
CCCAAGUCAGUAUAUAAUGAAAUCUGAAAAACAGCUAAGAUGCAAGAAAGUUAUUCUGUAUCAUAUAUAGCCACCCAGAAAAAUACAGACAACAGACCUAGACAACUCACACAGGCCUCAUUGUACUCAGAAGAAGCAGAGAAAAAAAAAAAAGAAUUCAUUCCACCCAUUUAGCUAAACUAUUAAGGCAGUUCCAAAGUGGUUUGUUCAAGUUUAUUUGGAUGUUAAAUGCUAAAUGAAAGAUCUCUAGAUGAAAUGUUAAAGAUUGUAUCUUAUUUUUAGGAAAUAAACAGAUUCCAGAGGUGUGUUCCUGCCGGGCCAAUCACGAGGCUGUAGCACAGCGCUGCCAUGUCCCUGAGCCCAAUCACAGCCUCAAAGGGAAACUUGUUUUGCUGUUUGUCUCCGCAGUGCUGGUGAUGGAUGGCUGCUUCAGGGGAAGAGAUCAAGCUGUGUGGAAGAACCUCGGGCAGACAAGAUACAUUGAGGGAAGGCUUAGAAGAUAGGCCUGAGACAGCAAGCGGCCUCAGGAUUGAAGCAAAACACCCCCUCCGACUGGGGGAGUCCUUGCUGUCAGAUUAGUCACAUGGCAGGAGAGAAGCCAAAACUCAGCUCAGCAGCCACAAAGUCACCUAGCAGGGUCCCCUCAGGCAUGUCGAGCAAGACCCUGCAAUGGGCCACAGCAAACAACCAAGUUCCUUCCGGCAUAAGGAGUGCAUAAGGACUGCUAGUAACAAAGACCUCAUCUCUUCCAAUAUCUUUCUUUUUAAUAGCGGAAGAUUAACAGUAUUUUAAAUAGCAUUUUGCAAAACUCUGUCUAAACAAUGCAAAAGUAGUUUCAUUCUACUUGUAAUAAUAGAGAAAAAAAAGAGUAACAAACAGCAACAUUACAGUGCAACAGAAAAUUCUUCUUCCUUGAAUGCAUACACUUUACACACGAUACUAUUUUACGUAUAGCAUACCUCAGCAAAGAAUGGAUUCUCUCCUACGGAUAGCUUAAACACAUUCAUUAGUUAAGUUUUGUUUAAGAUGAGAAAACGUUAAAUGUCAAUACCUCCCCAAACUAGUGUUUUGUGGUUUCUCAACUCAGAAAUUAGCUACCAUUUCCGAAUGUUAAAUUCUCCUUCAUUAAGCUCCUAGUGAAAGUUCGGAGUCUAGUCGUUCAUCUAGGUUCUCUGAUGAUUCUAUUUCCAUCUCUUCUAGAGAAAAGGAGAAAACAAACAAACAAAUAGAAAGCCCCACUGAUUACAGCUGUUCUAUUCUCCUAGUAUCCAUGCCAAUAUUUUCUGAUUAGGAAUACUCUGUUCCAUAUCCAGUAACAGAAGAUACCAUCAUAUGUACUCAGAAAUCUUCUGAUUUCCUUCCUAACCCUCAUCUUUCUAACCUCAAUUGUUCUAAACUAUUAAAAUGUCAGUGUGAGUUUUGUUUUUGGUUUUUGUUUUUUUUUUUUUAAUGGGGGGCUGGGGGGCAGGAAGUAUGUCUCGUGUUUAGAAGAGGUAAACUUUUGCUGUUCAUGUUUAAUUUUUUUUUUUAAAUGUAUUUGGUAUGCAAAGUCUUGAUUAACUCUAGAGAGAUCAGAUUU